AAGCAAUACUGACGACUUUUACUGUAUCAUGUUCAUCUUAAAAGGGAUUUAUGUGGGCAUUUAUAUUUUCAUAUUAAAAUGAAAAAUGUUCUACCCAUUUCUAUAAAUCCUCGAUUACUACAAAUAACAAUAUAAUCACGAGUUUAACUUUUGCACAGAAUAAAAAAAAAAAAAAAAAAAAAAACGAUAUAUAAAAAAAAAAACGGACUCUUUUUUGUAGCAUCCCAAACAGCUAUAGCAGAAUAGUAAACAUUAAACCUCUAUGACACCUCAGGGACUAAAUUAUUUUCUUUGUCAUUAGAUAACUACCACAAUGAGCAAACAGGAGAACAGAUACAGCAGGAAAAGCACUACGUUUUUGCAUAGCACCAGUAGAGGCUGUGCAAAAAAACCGGAUGAGACAGAAGAGGCAGAGCUGAGGCAAGGAGCAGAACACUCUGGGCAUUAUGGGAGUAACCUGCAAUUAUUUUAUAGCUCUUAAGAUUCCUGAGCUCUUAGUCAGUGUUUACCGUGCAAGGGCACGGCAAGGCCACAAAUUACAACCACUUGCUUUGGCACCAAAUGCUUAACAGUCACGCACAGGCCCGAGCUUUCUCUCAAAGUAGCAGACAGGCCGAGAAUAGAAAGACAAAAAGUUAAUGGAUGGAAGGUUGCCAUUAGGUAAUUUUUUUGUUUUGCCUUUUGUCAUGUGAUCACCAGAAUCUGUAACACUAUAGUCUUUUUAGACUGCAUAAUCCAAUAACAGCUAAUUCUAUUCAAUUCACUCAAGCGAGUGACAACAACUCUUUUAACCUGAAGUGAAGCCAUGUGGUAAAAGACCACAACCAGCAGGUCAAACCAGCAGAAGAACAAGGCAGUCGAAGUGCACAGCAGACACAGUGGCCACAGUGUUGUUUUCCAGGUCUGUGCAGAGAAUUGUGAAAGACUCAUCAUGUGACGCAGUUGGCUAUCUUCAGCCACGACUUCUCCAAAAGCUCAACUGCCACGGCGAGUGUGACGUAAGCAGGACAGAAAACCGCAACAACGAAAGCCUCAUGAGCGGUUGAGAAAGGAGCAACAAUUAUGUGGCAACCGGAAAGCUGCUCCACUGUGCCCCUGGGGGGGGAACAAUGCUGCGCUCUCACCCUCCUGCUACUGAGAUGGAAGCCAUUGUUAAACACAGCCCCAAGGAGCGCCAGGAACAUGUUUUAAGAGGAUCAUUAGGAGGAAAAUUUCAUGUUUUGUCCCCCUCUGUUAAGUGUUUGCUGAAGCUGAUUGUAGCUCUUUGUAGUAUGAGCAGGAAAUAGUAUUAAAAUGAGAAAAGUCAAGAUCCGCAUGGCCUCCACUUUCUUUAAAUGAUAUCUAAUUAUAAUCAACAUCUUAACUUGCAAAGACAACCCAAAAUGGAAGUGACAGUAUGUGAUUAUUAUACUUUCUUUUCUAUGAUUUGUGUAUUCAGUUUUUAUUUUCAAUUUCUCAUGUUUCAAAAAUCUAGUAUUGUUUG